AUUGCCCAGAGGGCCAUCAAGUGUCAGCUGCAUUGCUGUACGGCUGGAGUCACACAGACCAAACCAGGGAAUUGGAAAGGGAGCAUUUACUGACAAGCUGCUCAACUCAAACAUUGGAUCAAAAACUGCCAGGAACACUUAAUUCUCAGGAACUUUGAAUAUGGAAGGAACAAGUGUCAUUCACAGUGAAGAGAAACCACACACGUGGUCUGUGUGGACAAGCCUUCAGUCAAUUGUCUGACCUGUCAGUACGUAAAUGCAGUCAAAACUGGGUGACAACCAUAACAUCAAACAGCUCUUGCUUUAUAAUAUCAUGGUCAUGGAUCUCAGUUUGAGUUAAGCAAGGGCCACUCAUCUCCUCUCGUCCCUACAUUCUUAGUGCAAACGUGGACCAAACAGCUGAAUUCCAAAUGUGAGAGUGAAUGUCCACUAUCCUGAGGCUCCAUUUGACAGAGCAUUGUAUGAAGGAAUCAUAACAAAGCUAAAUUCAAUAGGAACCAGAGAAUAUUAAUCUUCCUUGGAUAGCUGGUUUUUGAAAAGAUUGCCUCUUCAGACCUCAGUAAAUCGAAACAAGGUGAAUUUAUUCAAACUUGUACCACAUACAUGUGGAAGAGUUCUGUCUGUUUAGCUGAGAGACACUACGCCUUUUACAGCUCAAAACAGCAUAUGAAGGCAUUUUCAUGUAAGAAUGGUUGCAUGUGACAUUGAUAUAAAAUAAAUUAUAUGCCACUUACUACAAAAACAGGAUGCUGUUCAGUUUCGGACAAAGUUCUGAGUCCUCUAAUUUCAACAGGACUUCCACUUCCACAUUAUCUUCAGAGCUUCUCUAUCCCACCAUCAGCUCACAGCUGGGUGAGCAAUACUUACGUGACUAUCUUAAGCUGUACAGAUAGUUUCAGAGCCCUAAGUAACUGUUGAUGGUUUACUGUUAUGGACCUGCAGUUAAACUGUCGGAGCAACAAUAACUCUGACGUGAUAUGGUUGUAUUUGACAGUUACCUUGUGCUGCACUGCUUGGAUAAGUUUAUUUUCUACCUGUUCUGUGUUUUAAAGUUCUGCUCCUUUUCCUUCUCUGUUUCCAAUGUACAUUCUCCUAUCCUCCUUACCCUACUUCCCCUGGUUUGAUAAUACUGAAUACAGAAGAGGAGGCUUGUGAUUGUCGGAGGGCAAUUGUCUCAGCUGCAGGAGUUCAUCAGGAUCAGGUUCUAUUCCCAACCACCUUCAGCUGUUUCAUCAAUGACCUUCCCUGCACCAUAAGGUCAGAAGUGGGAAUGUUUGCUGCUGCUGGCACAAUACUUUAGCACUGUUUGUGGCUCCUUGGAUAUUGAAGCAGUAGAUAUCUAAAUGCAGUAUGCCUGGACAACAUUGAAGUGAGCCUGCCAUGUGACAAAGAACAUUUGCACCAACAAUUACCUACAGAUAAUAACCAAAUCUGAGAAAUGAGAAUCUAACCACAGCCAAAUGACAUUCACUGGGUGUAUCUUUAUGGAAUUCCCCAUUAUCAUCAUCCUGGGGGCUAAUAUUGAUGAGAAACUGAAUUGGAACUAUCAGCUGAAUAAUGUGCCUGCAAAAUACGUCAAACCCUCUAAACCACCUGAUCUUCCUGUUCAA